rnacentral:rRNA from 1 species
UACGUAGGGUGCAAGCGUUGUCCGGAAUCAUUGGGCGUAAAGCGCGCGUAGGUGGCUUCGUCAGUCCGUUGUGAAAGUCAAAGGCUCAACCUUUGAAUGCCGAUGGAUACUGCGAAGCUAGAGUACGGAAGAGGCGAGUGGAAUUCCUGGUGUAGCGGUGGAAUGCGCAGAUAUCAGGAGGAACACCAAUAGCGAAGGCAGCUCGCUGGGACGUUACUGACACUAAGGCGCGAAAGCGUGGGGAGCGAACGAGG